CCCCUGUACUGUGGGCCUGUUGUGAUCAGAAACCAUGCCGGUCCGGUGGCUAAAGCUUGGAGAACUUUCCAGUUCAUCAGCCCCAUUAUCACCUAUAUGCGUGGGGGAUCCCAGCAGGUGGUGGUGAGGAUGCACCAUGUGAGUAGGGUUCGAGGCCUGGAGACUCAACUGGUGUGGGCCAUCUCCAGGA